rnacentral:lncRNA from 15 species
AUUAUCAGCAUACCUGGACCUUUUCACUGCAUUGUUUUGCCACACGGCACAAUAAAGUAAGGGCAGUGUUCCUGCUGGGGGCAGGCCUACACAGGAAAAAUGUUUCUGCUCAACAGCAGGAAGAAGGAAUCACAUACAACUUUGACCUCAUCAGAAUUGCGUCAGGUUUUCAUGGACUGAAAGUAGAUGGCAUUCCUCAGAGAGGAUUAUCUGACUACACACCAGGGCUUUUAUAUUGAAAAUUGUGAGCAGAAGUGCUGCCACUUAUUUUCACUACCUUGACGCUGACUGGAGGUCAGUGAACUGCAGAGAAAUGGAGUGUCAAUGUGAAAAGGACAACUCUGAGGAUGCUCUUACAGGCUGGUGGAUGAAUGGCAACAGUGUCCAGAUGGGAGUUUUUACUGUGGUGGGGUAUCUUCUCUACAGAUUCUCACAGACACUCCCAGCUCUGAUCCGAUGGCCGAUUCGUCUUUUCUGUUCUCUAACUGGUCUGUCAGCUCUUUGGGGCUGGGUGAGCCACCUCGUGGGAACCCUUCGUGGAAUCCAGAGCCUGUUUAAAUGGCUGUCUCGAAUUUGGCGGUUUUUCGUAGGAUUUUCCUCCAAGUUCAAGUGGUUGGCUGCUGUCAUCAAAGCAAGCUCAGUGUCAUCCACAGACGAAGAACUGGAUUUAAACAGUCCCAACAAACCAGGCCUGAGGCUGAUCCUCCUGGAGUAUAACAGUGAAGGAUGGACCUCCCUGGAAGAGACUUUGUUGGGCAACAGUGGGACAAGGGCACCCACGAGUCCCCUAAUUGAGAGCACCAAGAGUAGGACCGUAUUAGAUGGUAGAGAGGUUACAGUGAUCAACACCCCAGAUCUUUUGGGGCCGUCAUUGGGGAACAACAAGAGAGCCAGGGAAGCUUUGAGGAGCCUUCAGCUCGCCAGUCCUGGACCACACGCCUUCCUGCUGGUGAUCCGAGCUGCGGGCUCCAGCAUGGGGAUUGACCAGGAUGCAGCUCAGGCAAUCCGAGCCACCCUUGACGUGUUUGGAGACGGGGUCGCAGGGUACAUCAUCCCAGUGCUCGCCCACGCACACCGUCGGGGUCGAAGGCAUACUGUAGAUCAGCUGCUGGAUGCAGAUGAUGGGGGUCUGAGAAGGGCUCUGUCUCAAUGCGACCAGAGUCCAGAGCUGGUGGAUGACAGGCCAGACUGCCCUCCAGAGGUGCAGGGUGUGAUGCGCAGGCAGCUGGUGGGGCGUGUGAUGGAGAUGAAAACACUGAGGGGGCAUUUUGUCCACGAGCUGCAGAGAAGAGAAGACCGCAUCAGGGAGGAGCUUCUGACUGACAUGGCCUCUGCACUGGCUAUAAAACUAGGACACAUGUAA